UACAGAGGGUGCAAGCGUUAAUCGGAAUUACUGGCGUAAAGCGUGCGUAGACGGUUAUUUAAGUCGGGUGUGAAAGCCCGGGCUCAACCUGGGAAUUGCCAUUCGAGACUGAAUAGCUAGGGUGCGGAAGAGGAAGCGGAAUUUCCGGUGUAGCGGUGAAAUGCGUAGAUAUCGGAAGGAACACCAGUGGCGAAAGCGGCUUCCUGGUCCAGCACCGGACGUUCAGGCACGAAAGCGUGGGAGCAAACAG
rnacentral:rRNA from 1 species